rnacentral:rRNA from 1 species
AGUAAUGCCUAGGAAUCUGCCUGGUAGUGGGGGACAACGCUUCGAAAGGAACGCUAAUACCGCAUACGUCCUACGGGAGAAAGCAGGGGACCUUCGGGCCUUGCGCUAUCAGAUGAGCCUAGGUCGGAUUAGCUAGUUGGUGAGGUAAUGGCUCACCAAGGCGACGAUCCGUAACUUGUCUGAGAGGAUGAUCAGUCACACUGGAACUGAGACACGGUCCAG